CCCAAAUUCGAGGAGGAAGGUGCAAAGUGGUGGGAGGCUGCGGGUCUCCCGGAGGGUGAGGCGUUGGGGACCAGGCGGGAGCACAGCCGAACCCCUACCUUUCGGGCGGGGCGGACACCAGCCGCGCGCCCUCGCCGGGCGCCGGGACCGGAAAAUCACCGCGAAGGGAGGGACGAGGAAAGGCGGCGGGUGGCUUCAGGACAAGGACUUUGUGAUUACAUUGGGCCCAUCCAGAUCAUCCAGGAUCAUCUUCCCAUCUCAAGAUUCUUCACUUAAUCACAUCUGCAAAAUUCCUUUUGCUGUGUAAGCUGUGAGAUAUCGGUGGGCGAGGAUGUGAUGCCUGAAGAUGUGGCAUCUACCUUGAAACAGUCAAGGACCUGAGGAUGAAGCCAGCAUCUGAGGAAGACAGACAGAAAGGAUCUGGAUACAUCAUGAGCCUGAAAAGUAUCUUGCAUACACAACUGGCAGCACAGAAUCCUGACAAACCUCUCAUCAGAAAUCAACCACAGACUCUUUAUGCUCUUACCAAAAUGCUGGCUUUGAGAACUAAUUAUGAAUGAAAAUUACUGAUGUGAUUUUCAGUCCACAGGGCCUGAAAAUUGCUUCCAGCAACUGACAAGUUCAUCCCCUUCCAACUGGUCUGACAAGCCCUGAGGAAGGAGGAAGACAGUGAUAUCCACCCCCCGCUGCCC
rnacentral:lncRNA from 1 species